AUACGGAGGGUGCAAGCGUUACUGGGAAUCACUGGGCGUAAAGCGCGCGCAGGUGGCUUGAUAAGUUGGAUGUGAAAGCCUACGGCUCAACCGUAGAACUGCAUCCAAAACUGUCAAGCUAGAGUCUGGGAGGUGAAGAUGGAAUUAGUUGUGUAGGGGUAAAAUCCGUAGAGAUAACUAGGAAUACCAAAAGCGAAGGCGAUCUUCUGGAACAGUACUGACGCUGAGGCGCGAAAGCGUGGGGAGCAAACAGGAUUAGAAACCCCAGUAGUCC
rnacentral:rRNA from 1 species